GAUGAACGCUGGCGGCGUGCCUAAUACAUGCAAGUCGAGCGAAUGGAUUGAGAGCUUGCUCUUAUGAAGUUAGCGGCGGACGGGUGAGUAACACGUGGGUAUCCUGCCCAUAAGACUGGGAUAACUCCGGGAAACCGGGGCUAAUACCGGAUAACAUUUUGAACCGCAUGGUUCGAAAUUGAAAGGCGGCUUCGGCUGUCACUUAUGGAUGGACCCGCGUCGCAUUAGCUAGUUGGUGAGGUAACGGCUCACCAAGGCAACGAUGCGUAGCGGACCUGAGAGGGUGAUCGGCAACACUGGGACUGAGAAACGGCCCAGACUCCUACGGGAGGCAGCAGUAGGGAAUCUUCCGCAAUGGACGAAAGUCUGACGGAGCAACGCCGCGUGAGUGAUGAAGGCUUUCGGGUCGUAAAACUCUGUUGUUAGGGAAGAACAAGUGCUAGUUGAAUAAGCUGGCACCUUGACGGUACCUAACCAGAAAGCCACGGCUAACUACGUGCCAGCAGCCGCCGUAA
rnacentral:rRNA from 1 species